GGGGACUUCGCGAACAGUAAUGUUCUCGUCGUGAGGUAAGGUCCGGCCACCACAUUAAGGUUGUCUUUCGAAAGGAAGAUUCCUGCGAAGGAAAGCUCCAGAAGAGAAACGACACAGCUUUCACAGAGUUAUGAAACGUGAGUUGAACUGCGAAGUGAAAGAUUUGAUGAAACGGCUGUCUCAACCGGUGCAAGGCUUUAAGCCGCUUAGUUGAAUGUUAACACAAACCGUCUGAUUACAGGGUUUGACAGAAGCUGGCCUAUUCCC
rnacentral:RNase_P_RNA from 1 species